rnacentral:rRNA from 1 species
UUACUGAAUUGUCAACAAGAGUUGUUGCUGGUCCCCAGAUGGGGGCAUGUGCACGCUCUGUUAACACAUCCACUCACACCCUGUGCACCCUCUGUAGUUCUAUGGUUGGGGGGACCCCGUCCUCUCCUGCUGUGGUUCUGCAUCUUUACAUACACACUGUAAAAAAGUCUUAUGGAAUGCAUGCUGCGUUUAACGCAAUAAAAUACAACUUUCAGCAACGGAUCUCUUGGCUCUCGCAUCGAUGAAGAACGCAGCGAAAUGCGAUAAGUAAUGUGAAUUGCAGAAUUCAGUGAAUCAUCGAAUCUUUGAACGCACCUUGCGCCCUUUGGUAUUCCGAAGGGCAUGCCUGUUUGAGUAUCAUGAACACCUCAACUCUUCAUGGUUUUCCGUGACGAGCUUGGACUUUGGGGGUCUUGCUGGCCUACGGUCGGCUCCUCUCAAACAAAUCAGCUUGCCAGUGUUUGGUGGGCAUCACAGGUGUGAUAACUAUCUACGCUUGUGGUUUUCCACCAGCUAACCUUCAGCAGUGGAGGUUCGCUGGAGCUCACAGACGUCUCUCCUCAGUGAGGACAGCCCUUUGAAUGUUUGAUCUCAAAUCAGGUAGGACUACCCGCUGAACUUAA